UAAGGAAUAUUGGGCAAUGGACGCAAGUCUGACCCAGCCAUGCCGCGUGGAGGAUGAAGGUCCUCUGGAUUGUAAACUUCUUUUAUUUGGGAAGAAACCCACGAUUUCUAUUGUGGUUGACGGUACCAGAUGAAUAAGCACCGGCUAACUCCGUGCCAGCAGCCGCGGUAAUACGGAUGGUGCAAGCGUUAUCCGGAUUCACUGGGUUUAAAGGGUGCGUAGGUGGGUUAGUAAGUCCGUGGUGAAAUCCCUGAGCUUAACUCAGGAACUGCCGUGGAUACUAUCACUCUUGAAUGCUGUGGAGGUAAGCGGAAUAUGUCAUGUAGCGGUGAAAUGCUUAGAUAUGACAUAGAACACCAAUUGCGAAGGCAGCUUGCUACACGGUUAUUGACACUGAGGCACGAAAGCGUGGGGAUCAAACAG
rnacentral:rRNA from 1 species